rnacentral:lncRNA from 1 species
AUGAUCUGAAUCCAGCUGUUGCGCUCCUCUUUGGAGCCGGCGUGCACUUCCACCAUCUCGGGGUCCCUCAUGCCCAUGCUGAUCAGGAACAGACCUCUCUCCUCGUGCGCUACCUCUCUCACAAUCAGCUUCUUUAAAGAGAUCACCGUUGACUUCUGGUCCUGGAGAAAGGGGAGACGGCCGACGUGACAGAGGCGGGCGACAGCCUAACUCUCAAGAACAACUCUGAUCUAUGGCAAGACCAGAUGUACGAUCUCACGUAUGUGUGGAAUCUAAAACAAAAAAAGCCCUAAAAAGCCCACACCAAACUCCUAGAAAAAGAGACCGGACCUGCGGCUACCAGAUGUGGAGGGGCAGGGAGAUGGUCAAAAGGUACAAGCUUCCAGUCAGGAGAGGAGCAGGCACGAGGGCCGAGGGCUACGGCUAACAGUGCUGUAUGGCACACACAGAAGGUGCCGGGGGUUCUUAUCAUACGGGUUCCCAUUUCUUUCCCUCUUCUCUUUAUACUAGAUCCCUAGGAGAUGAUGGGAGCUGAGCUUACUGUGGUGAGCACUGAAUAAUGUACGUAAAUGGAACCAUCACUCUCUAUGCCUCCCCCAGGGACGUACGUCAGUUUUUUCUCAAGACUGGGGAAAAAGGGCGUAUGGUUUAGCAAACUGUGGUGGAUUUAAGAUCAAGAGAAGUAUCUCAUCAUUUACAUUUUAUCAAACAGAAAAAGAUUUCCAAAAAAGAGAUAAUAAUUCGUAUCUCUAGAGGAUCCAGACAUGGGGUCUACAGGAUGAACCCUUCUAGGUUCCUCUGUGAAUCUGUCUGGCAACAAUACAUACUGGCACGAUUUACGGGGCAUAACGUGCAAGAAAUACUCCAGCAACAGAUUUCUUUAGAUAGAAUGCCCAAGACUCUAAAAGGGACUGUGAGGGAACAGAAAAAUAAUGGGGUUUCUUUGGGGGGGGGGGAGAGGGGGAUGGCAUGGAGACAGAAAAUUGCAAAGGUAUCUGAGAGAUUCCUCAGAGGAAGCUGUCCUGAGCAAAUUCAUUUUGAGGGGGCAGGAGAGCAGUAAUCCAUGGUCAGACCCAAUACCUGUUCCAGCUGUUUCAAACAUCAUCAAUUACAAACAGAAGACACCAACAAUUCAGCUUACCAAUGAUGCAAAGACGUAUUUCUGGUCUUUUUCUUGAAGGAAAACUAAAAUGUCAGUAAGGAGAACUGCUUGAGCCUCUGGAAAAUGGGGAAGGAGAGAAAGAACAAGGAGUACUUAGUGGUGAAGCACGGUCAGAGCACCUCUAUUAGGGGACAGUUCAGCAACCCACCCCGCACGGCAAGGCACUCGGGACCCAACAGUACACUCCGCUCCUCCAAGGUGACCGUUUAAUAUUUUUGCAGGAGCCAUAUGUGGUCAUUAGAUUUUCAGAGGCAUUUUAAAAAAAUUUUUUUAAGGUUUAUUCAUUUUUGAGAGACAGAGACGGAGUGCAAGCGGGGGNNNGGGGGAGGGGCACAGAGAAAAGGAGACACAGAAUCCGAAGCAGGCUCCAGGCUCUGAGCCAUCAGCACAGAGCCAGACGCAGGGCUCAAACUCACAAACCAUGAGAUCAUGACCUGAGCCAAAGUCGGACGCUUAACCGACUGAGCCACCCAGGCACCCCUUCUGAGGCAUUUGGAAAUAACAGCAGCUAUCACCAAAGCCAUAUCUUGAGAAAGCUUGAGUACGCAGUUCCGGAAAGAUCUAUCCCAUAAGGCAAGACUUUAAG